GCGACAGAACGCACGGACUCUUCCGGUUUCUUUGCCAACCGAUGCCCAACCCUGGGUAUAUAACCGGGGCCGCGUCUUAUGUGCUGGUAGGGGGAGCUUGCCGCGAGAACGAAGCAUGAGACCAUGGCGAGAUUGGGAGAAAGAGAAUCGGAUGUCGCCGCCGCAGUCAAAUCCCAGCUCAUCAUGAUCGGGGUCGCCUGCACGACAGUAAGUGGUGAGAGCCCUCC
rnacentral:lncRNA from 7 species